CUGAUCCAGCAUGCCGCGUGAGUGAUGAAGGCCUUCGGGUUGUAAAGCUCUUUUGCCCCCUAAUAUAAUGACGGUACCUGAACAAUAAGCCCCGGCUAACUCCCUUGCCAGCAACCGCGGUAAUACGAAGGGGGCAAGCGUUGUUCGGAAUUACUGGGCGUAAAGGGCGCGUAGGCGGCUGAUCAAGUCAGGCGUGAAAUCCCCGGGCUCAACCUGGGGGCUGCCCUUGAUACUGAUCAGCUUGAAUGCGGGAGAGGAUAGUGGAAUUCCCAGUGUAGAGGUGAAAUUCGUAUAUAUUGGGAAGAACACCAGUGGCGAAGGCGGCUAUCUGGCCCGUUAUUGACGCUGAGGCUCGAAAGCGUGGGGAGCAAACAGGAUUAGAUACCCUGGUAGUCCACGCCGUAAACGAUCAAUGCUAGACGUUGGCGAGCAUGCUCGUCAGUGUCGCAGCUAACGCAUUAAGCAUUCCGCCUGGGGAGUACGGUCGCAAGAUUAAAACUCGAAG
rnacentral:rRNA from 1 species